GUAGGUGAACCUGCGGAGGGAUCAUUACCGAGCGAGGGCCCCGGGCCCGACCUCCAACCCACUGUUUACUGUCCACGUUGCCUCAGGGGCGACCUGCCGCUUUGUUGGCGAGGCCCCCCGGCUGGCCCCCUCAAACCGCCCUGUUUGCGUCUGAGUCAAAGAUUGAAUCAAAUCAAAACUUUCAACAACGGAUCUCUUGGUUCUG
rnacentral:misc_RNA from 1 species